CAGGCUUAACACAUGCAAGUCGAGCGUCAGCAUGGUCUUAGCUUGCUAAGGCCGAUGGCGACCGGCGCACGGGUGAGUAACACGUAUCCAACCUGCCGUCUACUCUUGGACAGCCUUCUGAAAGGAAGAUUAAUACAAGAUGGCAUCAUGAGUCCGCAUGUUCACAUGAUUAAAGGUAUUCCGGUAGACGAUGGGGAUGCGUUCCAUUAGAUAGUAGGCGGGGUAACGGCCCACCUAGUCUUCGAUGGAUAGGGGUUCUGAGAGGAAGGUCCCCCACAUUGGAACUGAGACACGGUCCAAACUCCUACGGGAGGCAGCAGUGAGGAAUAUUGGUCAAUGGGCGAGAGCCUGAACCAGCCAAGUAGCGUGAAGGAUGACUGCCCUAUGGGUUGUAAACUUCUUUUAUAAAGGAAUAAAGUCGGGUAUGGAUACCCGUUUGCAUGUACUUUAUGAAUAAGGAUCGGCUAACUCCGUGCCAGCAGCCGCGGUAAUACGGAGGAUCCGAGCGUUAUCCGGAUUUAUUGGGUUUAAAGGGAGCGUAGAUGGAUGUUUAAGUCAGUUGUGAAAGUUUGCGGCUCAACCGUAAAAUUGCAGUUGAUACUGGAUAUCUUGAGUGCAGUUGAGGCAGGCGGAAUUCGUGGUGUAGCGGUGAAAUGCUUAGAUAUCACGAAGAACUCCGAUUGCGAAGGCAGCCUGCUAAGCUGCAACUGACAUUGAGGCUCGAAAGUGUGGGUAUCAAACAGGAUUAGAUACCCUGGUAGUCCACACGGUAAACGAUGAAUACUCGCUGUUUGCGAUAUACAGCAAGCGGCCAAGCGAAAGCGUUAAGUAUUCCACCUGGGGAGUACGCCGGCAACGGUGAAACUCAAAGGAAUUGACGGGGGCCCGCACAAGCGGAGGAACAUGUGGUUUAAUUCGAUGAUACGCGAGGAACCUUACCCGGGCUUAAAUUGCAGAUGAAUUACGGUGAAAGCCGUAAGCCGCAAGGCAUCUGUGAAGGUGCUGCAUGGUUGUCGUCAGCUCGUGCCGUGAGGUGUCGGCUUAAGUGCCAUAACGAGCGCAACCCUUGUUGUCAGUUACUAACAGGUUCCGCUGAGGACUCUGACAAGACUGCCAUCGUAAGAUGUGAGGAAGGUGGGGAUGACGUCAAAUCAGCACGGCCCUUACGUCCGGGGCUACACACGUGUUACAAUGGGGGGUACAGAGGGCCGCUACCACGCGAGUGGAUGCCAAUCCCCAAAACCUCUCUCAGUUCGGACUGGAGUCUGCAACCCGACUCCACGAAGCUGGAUUCGCUAGUAAUCGCGCAUCAGCCACGGCGCGGUGAAUACGUUCCCGGGCCUUGUACACACCGCCCGUCAAGCCAUGGGAGCCGGGGGUACAAGAAGU
rnacentral:rRNA from 1 species